rnacentral:rRNA from 1 species
AUUAGACGAAUCAUCUGGAAAGAUGAAUCAAAGAAGGUAAUAAUCCUGUAGUCGAAAAUGUUGUCUCUCUUGAGUGGAUCCUGAGUACGACGGAGCACGUGAAAUUCCGUCGGAAUCUGGGAGGACCAUCUCCUAAGGCUAAAUACUCUCUAGUGACCGAUAGUGAACCAGUACCGUGAGGGAAAGGUGAAAAGCACCCCGGAAGGGGAGUGAAAUAGAACCUGAAACCGUGUGCUUACAAGUAGUCAGAGCCCGUUAAUGGGUGAUGGCGUGCCUUUUGUAGAAUGAACCGGCGAGUUACGAUUUGAUGCAAGGUUAAGCAGUAAAUGUGGAGCCGUAGCGAAAGCGAGUCUGAAUAGGGCGUUUAGUAUUUGGUCGUAGACCCGAAACCAGGUGAUCUACCCUUGGUCAGGUUGAAGUUCAGGUAACACUGAAUGGAGGACCGAACCGACUUACGUUGAAAAGUGAGCGGAUGAACUGAGGGUAGCGGAGAAAUUCCAAUCGAACCUGGAGAUAGCUGGUUCUCUCCGAAAUAGCUUUAGGGCUAGCCUCAAGUGAUGAUUAUUGGAGGUAGAGCACUGUUUGGACGAGGGGCCCCUCUCGGGUUACCGAAUUCAGACAAACUCCGAAUGCCAAUUAAUUUAACUUGGGAGUCAGAACAUGGGUGAUAAGGUCCGUGUUCGAAAGGGAAACAGCCCAGACCACCAGCUAAGGUCCCAAAAUAUAUGUUAAGUGGAAAAGGAUGUGGCGUUGCCCAGACAACUAGGAUGUUGGCUUAGAAGCAGCCAUCAUUUAAAGAGUGCGUAAUAGCUCACUAGUCGAGUGACACUGCGCCGAAAAUGUACCGGGGCUAAACAUAUUACCGAAGCUGUGGAUUGUCCUUUGGACAAUGGUAGGAGAGCGUUCUAAGGGCGUUGAAGCAUGAUCGUAAGGACAUGUGGAGCGCUUAGAAGUGAGAAUGCCGGUGUGAGUAGCGAAAGACGGGUGAGAAUCCCGUCCACCGAUUGACUAAGGUUUCCAGAGGAAGGCUCGUCCGCUCUGGGUUAGUCGGGUCCUAAGCUGAGGCCGACAGGCGUAGGCGAUGGAUAACAGGUUGAUAUUCCUGUACCACCUAUAAUCGUUUUAAUCGAUGGGGGGACGCAGUAGGAUAGGCGAAGCGUGCGAUUGGAUUGCACGUCUAAGCAGUAAGGCUGAGUAUUAGG